UACGGAGGGGGCUAGCGUUGUUCGGAAUUACUGGGCGUAAAGCGCACGUAGGCGGAUCAGCCAGUCAGGGGUGAAAUCCCGGGGCUCAACCCCGGAACUGCCUUUGAUACUGCUGGUCUGGAGUUCGGGAGAGGCGAGUGGAAUUCCGAGUGUAGAGGUGAAAUUCGUAGAUAUUCGGAGGAACACCAGUGGCGAAGGCGGCUCGCUGGCCCGAGACUGACGCUGAGGUGCGAAAGCGUGGGGAGCAAACAGGG
rnacentral:rRNA from 1 species